AGUGAACGCUAGCUACAGGCUUAACACAUGCAAGUCGAGGGGCAGCGGGAUUGAAGCUUGCUUCAAUUGCCGGCGACCGGCGCACGGGUGAGUAACGCGUAUCCAACCUUCCGCUUACUCGGGGAUAGCCUUUCGAAAGAAAGAUUAAUACCAGAUGGUAUCCUAAGCACGCAUGAGAUUAAGAUUAAAGAUUUAUCGGUAAGCGAUGGGGAUGCGUUCCAUUAGGCAGUUGGCGGGGUAACGGCCCACCAAACCUACGAUGGAUAGGGGUUCUGAGAGGAAGGUCCCCCACAUAGGAACUGAGACACGGUCCAAACUCCUACGGGAGGCAGCAGUGAGGAAUAUUGGUCAAUGGGCGAGAGCCUGAACCAGCCAAGUAGCGUGAAGGAUGACGGCCCUACGGGUUGUAAACUUCUUUUGUGCGGGAAUAAAGGAACCUACGUGUAGGUUUUUGCAUGUACCGUAACGAAUAAGCAUCGGCUAACUCCGUGCCAGCCGCCGCAGUAA
rnacentral:rRNA from 1 species